rnacentral:rRNA from 1 species
GACGAACGCUGGCGGCGUGCUUAACACAUGCAAGUCGAACGGAAAGGCCCUGCUUGCAGGGUACUCGAGUGGCGAACGGGUGAGUAACACGUGGGUGAUCUGCCCUGCACUUCGGGAUAAGCCUGGGAAACUGGAUCAAAUACCGGAUAGGAGCCAUUUUUAGUGUGAUGGUUGGAAAGUUUUUUUCGGUGUAGGAUGAGCUCGCGGCCUAUCAGCUUGUUGGUGGGGUAAUGGCCCACCAAGGCGGCGACGGGUAGCCGGCCUGAGAGGGUGGACGGCCACAUUGGGACUGAGAUACGGCCCAGACUCCUACGGGAGGCAGCAGUGGGGAAUAUUGCACAAUGGGCGCAAGCCUGAUGCAGCGACGCCGCGUGGGGGAUGGCGGCCUUCGGGUUGUAAACUCCUUUCGCUAGGGACGAAGCUUUUUGUGACGGUACCUAGAUAAGAAGCACCGGCUAACUACGUG